rnacentral:misc_RNA from 1 species
GUGGGGUUUGGGAGGAGAGGAGGCUCGACGGAGAAUCUCGACAAGGGGGACUACGAAAGCAAGGGUUUUUCCAGAGCCGGUUGUGGCGUCGACUGCAACAUCCUUGUAGCUGCAUAGUAGCGGAAUCGUGGCUGCUUGGACCGGCGUGCAAUAUUCGAAACCUGCUAGAGUUAGAGCUUCGAGAACAGGCUCUGAGAGUGACGGUUUUAGAUCGGAGAAGCGCGUUUCCGUUAACGCUCUAUUUGGAUACAGCGAAUCGGUGAUGUCCAUUGCUUCAGAAUCAGGUACCCG